rnacentral:lncRNA from 1 species
UAAAACCUGCCGUUUCGUCGGCGUCCACUGCGGCAAUGCCUGGCACUCUUUCCUCCCCUUUCGAUGAUCACCUCUGCCGCUCCAAAUCAGCCAAAGUUCCGAUUCCUUCAACGAAUGUAGCUGAUCUAAACUCCCAUCGCUCGGUAAUCUCUCGCGUCGUUCGUCUCCGUUUGAUCCUGUAGUUUCUUGAUGUGCAAAUUGGAUGGUCUUUUCCCUGUCGUUGAAAUGUUCUCCCUGAUUGAUCGCUGUAAAUCAUCCUAUUUAUCUUUUGCCUUCAUAUGCUCUUUGGUUGGAUAGAAAGUGACUAGAACAUUUGUCCUUGUUCUUCUACUUGAUAUGGGCCUCUAUGAGUAUGGUGUUUCAUCUACCAAAUGUUUCCUCAAAGUGGUUGGCCAUCUGAAUUGUGUGCCUGUCAACGCUGAUGUCAACAGUAUUAUUUCGCUUGAAUGAAUUGAGUAGGUUUGGCUUGGUUCUAAUACGGGAAGGAUGCUUAAUUGACUUGAAGCUAAUUGUAAUUACCACCCAUUGCUUUUGGAUCCAUUCAACCGAGAAUACUACUGAUUUACCAUAAAUCAUGAAAUUUUGUGGUCUUAUUUUCUUUUACAUCAAAUUUUGCACUCAAGUUUUUGAUUGAAAACUUGAACUCAUUGGUUCUUUUUACUGUUUUUGAGAAAUGACCCUAAAGAAAAAUCACAAUUCCAAAUAUUUAGAAACUCAUGUGCAGCAAUAUCAUUGAUCUUGGUACUUGUAACAUCCCAUGAUUUGAGAAAACUCUUGUUACAUUUUAUGAUCUUAGUGUUCAAGAACUUUCUCCAUCAAUACCUUCAACGAUAAAAUUCUAAUUGGUUUUGCACCUAGAAUAGCAUUUUGAUUGCAAGAAAUAGAGGGACUGAAAAGGGCACACAAGGUAAUGUAUACACUAAGUAGCAUUUCUCUGAUUCCCUCAUACUAAAAUUCGUUGGAAUUCUAACAAGAAAGUAGGUCACACAUAGUAAAAUUCAUUAUUAUCUGUCUUCCAUUUGUGUCGUGCUUUCCUUGAUAUUAGCGUUCAAUAUAUUGUCUCCUCUGCCUUACUGAUAGACUUAAAAGUAAUUUUAGCUGCUCAUACUUUGAUAUAGUGUUUAUGUUCAUAAGAUCUAAUUUAUCUUGGUUGUCUGCUGAACACUACCUUCCUUCUCUAUUCAGGUUGGGAUUGGCAAUGUAAAAGACUUAACAAUAAAAAUGCACAGGUAAAGUUAAAUUAUGGGAAAAAAUCUAGGUAGCCGACCCUAACUGUUGGGAUAUUUAAGACCGGAACUGAUUUCUUAUACAUGUUGCUGCUGCAAUUGCAAUUUUCAUAAGAACAUGGUUCCAGAUGAAGUUCAAAAGGCUGUGAUGACCCAAAACAUGGGUCUGCUGUAUAAUUUUUACAUAUAUAUUUUUUCUUUCGGACAUUCUUAUGAAGAUGUUUUUUGAUGUUAAUUUGGGAGUGAUAUUAUUGCCUAAAGAGAAUGUCAUCUCAUAAUUUUCAUGCUCUCUUUGUCUCCUUUACCACUUUUGUUGGUCCCAUUUCUAUUGUGACUUCUACCUAUCAGUUAAGUUUAACUCGUCACUGAAACUAUUUCUGAUACCCGAGUGAAUUGAAGAUUGACUACUUCCAAAUACUAGUAACUAAUAUAAGCUUGGCCUUUUCUUGCAUGCGGUGACCAUAAAAACUGAAAUGAUGGAAGAACCUACAAAUCUUUACUGCUUAUUGUUAUAUUUCAGUAAAAUGAGAUACAUAAGCCAAUAGUCGAGUAAGAGCAUAGCACACUUUUGGGAAAGCAAACGAAAGAAUGAUGUCACCGGAAUGCUUCUAAUGAUUGACAGUUUUGGAUGUGUGUGAUGCCAUGGUGACUAUGCAUCCACAGUGCUUUUUCUAGGUUAUUCCAAUUUCCCUUUUAGCUUAUAAAAAUUAUAAUAUUAAGCAAUGAUGUUUAAAUAUCAAUUGCUUGUGGUAUGCUUCAGCUGAAGUAUUUUGCUUGUUUAACUUUGAUCAGUUGUUCUAUGAUGAUUAUGCUUUCAUUUUCAGGCUGCAUGCCCUACGCAAGGCCGAUAGCAACAGUACUAAGUACAAAUCUAUUGCAGAUUUACACAUCUGGAAGCAACAUUAGAAAGAAUUUUAGCUCCGCUAGGGUGUUCAUGAG